rnacentral:rRNA from 1 species
AUUGAACGCUGGCGGCAGGCCUAACACAUGCAAGUCGAACGAGUGGCGGACGGGUGAGUAAUGUCUGGGAAACUGCCCGAUGGAGGGGGAUAACUACUGGAAACGGUAGCUAAUACCGCAUACCAUCGGAUGUGCCCCGAUGGGAUUAGCUAGUAGGUGGGGUAACGGCUCACCUAGGCGAAGAUCCCUCGCUGGUCUGAGGGGAUGACCAGCCACACUGGAACGGAGACACGGUCCAGACUCCUACGGGAGGCAGCAGUGGGGAAUAUUGCACAAUGGGCGCAAGCCUGAUGCAGCAAUGCCGCGUGUAUGAAGAAGGCCUUCGGGUUGUAAAGUACUUUCAGCGAGGAGGCGUUACUCGCAGAAGAAGCACCGGCUAACUCCGUGCCAGCAGCCGCGGUAAUUC